CAAAAUGGGUUUUUAAAAAUAGCCAGAAGUUAUCCAUGGGGAGGCUUCACUUUCGGAGAGGGCUCAGCUGUAGUCCAUUUGUGCUUCGUGGUGCCGUCCCCUUCCCAAAGCAGGUCCUUAAGUUCAGUGGAACCACCCUUCCAGGCCUGGCCUGCGCUGCUGUGGUCCCUGAUCAUCGGCGUCUGACCCACAGUCUGCGGCUCUGUUCUCACGCAGGUGGAGAACUCCACGCUGAGCUCCCAGAGCGCCGCGCUGGCUGCGCAGUACACACUGCUCCAGAGCCAGCACACGGCCAAGGAGACGGAGCACGAAGGCCUGCAGAGGCAGCAGGAGCAGCUGGCGGCCGCCUACGAGGCCCUGCUCCAGGACCACGAGCACCUGAGCACGCUGCACGAGCGCCAGUCCUCGGAGUACGAGGCCCUCAUCCGCCAGCACAGCUGCCUGAAGACACUGCACCGGAACCUGGAGCUGGAGCACAAGGAGCUCAGGGAGAGGCACGGCGACAUGCUGAAACACAGGGCGGAGCUGGACGAGCUGGAGAAGGUCCUGACUGCCGAGCGUGAGGCGCUGCAGCAGGAGCAGAGGACGAACGCUGUCACCAUGGGCGAGAACCAGAGGCUGCGGGCGGAGCUGGACAGGGUCAAUUUCCUGCACCAGCAGCUGAAGGGGGAGUGUGAAGAGCUGCACGCCCACACCAAGGAGCUGAAAACCUCGCUGAACACCUCGCAGCUGGAGCUGAACCGCUGGCAGGCGCGCUUUGACGAGCUGAAGGAGCAGCACCAGACCAUGGACAUCUCGCUGACCAAGCUGGACAACCACUGCGAGCUGCUCUCCCGCCUCAAGGGGAACUUGGAGGAGGAGAAUCAUCACCUCCUGAGCCAGAUCCAGCUGCUGAACCAACAGAACCAAAUGCUCCUAGAGCAGAACCUGGAGAACAAGGAGCAGUACCAUGAGGAACAGAAGCAGUACAUAGACAAAUUAAACGCCUUAAGGAGACAUAAGGAAAAACUGGAAGAGAAAAUCAUGGAUCAGUACAAGUUCUAUGAUCCCGCUCCAAAGAAGAAGAACCACUGGAUUGGAGCCAAAGCCUUAGUGAAAUUCAUCAAACCAAAGAAAGAGGGUUCCAGAGAACGAUUAAAGUCAACCGCAGACAGCCCUUCCUGGCAGUCUGAGUCCGCAGACCCUGCCUCGCCGUCAGCCUCUCAGUCCCUCAGAUCACAGCCGGAGAACCCCAGCAACCCCCCACUGGCCUCACAUGGGGCCGAAGAGUGUGAUGCUCACAACGGGCCUUUGGGGAAAGGCCCUGGGGACCUAAAACCAAAGCGAGGGUCCCCACAUGGAAGCAGCCUGGACCACAUGGAGGCCUCUGCUGACCCAGCCAUAAAGCCUUGGCCCUCAGAGCUGGGCUCCCGGACCUGUUCAGCCUCAGCGAUCACAGCACCCACCUCCAGCUCCACCCCUGUCCCCCGGCACCCAGGUCGCACCAAAGGCUACAGUUCGGACGACAACCUCUGCGAGCCGCCCCUGGAGCUCGAGGGCGCCCAGCGCAGGCAGCACGUGUCUCGGCCGAGCAGCUUGGAGAGCAGCAGAAACACAUCCAGCAACAGCUCGCCUCUGAGCCUCAAAGGUUCCUCCGACCAGCUCCACGGCUGCUCCGAGGGCUUCAGCAGUGAAGACCUGAUCCCUAGCAGGGACCCCAACACCCUGGGACGCAGCGCCCUCAGCCGCCAUGAAUACCUCCCGCCUCGGAAUGGGCCUGUGCCCCAGGAGGCUGCCCCGAAGAGAGGCUCGGCCACAGCCCACCCUGGGGUGCGGCCCUGCUCGGCCUCCCCCAGCAGCGAGAUGGUGACCUUGGAGGAGUUCCUGGAGGAGAGUAACCGCAGCUCCCCAGCCCAUGACACUCCCAGCUGCUGCCGGGAUGACCUGCUCGGUGACUACUUCCGAAAGGCCAACGACCCCCCGGCCAUUGGAGGCCCACCAGGCCCUCCUGCCAGGAAAGAGGGAGCCAAGAUGCCCACCAGCUUUGUGGCCCCCACCAUCAAGAUGGCCAUCAACACCUCCGAGGGGAGGCAGCUAAAGCCUGGGCAUUAUGUGAAGCCGAACUUCAGGCCUGCUGAAGCAGAGGUCCCAGCAGGAGCCUCCCCGAGACAGGUCCAACCUCCCCAGAGCCUGUCUCUGGGCAGAGCCCGGCAAGCCACAAUGUCCCCCGCUUCCCAUGCCCCUGCCGGCCGGAGUGCGUCCCUGAGCCGCGCCUACAGCCUGGCCUCUGCCGACCUUCUCCGGGCCAGUGGGCCAGAGGCCUGUAGACAAGAAUCCCCUCAGAAACUGGGGGAUCCUGAGGCCUCGGGGGCCAGAGAGACAGGCAGCCGCAGCCUGCAGAGCCCUGCACCUCCCAGCUCCCACAGCCUGGGACGGGAGCGGACCCUACAGGCAGGCAAGGCUGAUGGCUCCUGCCAAGGUCCAGGGCCCCGCAGCCGGCCAUCAGACACCAGACGCUUCUCACUGGCUCCCCCAAAGGAGGAGAGGCUGGCACCCCUGCAGCAGUCCGCCACGGUCCCAGCCAUUGCCACCACUGCAGGCGGCAGCGGCAGCAGCUCCCAGCUCCAGCACUUCCCACCUGCUGCAGCCGCAGCCUCCAGGACCAAGCCCAAAACGCCUCCACACUCAGGGGAGGUAGCCACCAUUGCCCCUGUCCGCUCAGGGCUCAGCCUCUCAGAGGGAGACAAGAACCUGGGACAGGGCCACACCGAGGGGCUCCUGGCUAAGAGCCCUGGCAGGUCACCUGACUUGGCUCCCCAUGCCAGCCGGGGCCCCGAGGAUUUCAGCCGUGGAGGCAGCUCAAAGAGCACCCCAGCAUCCCCGGAGCCAGGCGGGGACCAGCAGACAGUGUGGUAUGAGUACGGCUGUGUGUGACUGUCUCGUGGAUCAGCAGCUCCUGAACCUUAAACUACUGACAGCUUCUGAUCCCGAUGGCCUUUCCUCCUGUUUGUCGGUGGUGCCGGGAAAGGGUUUAGAGUGGACAAAGCGUUCCCACACACCUGUCCUGUUUGUCUUGUAGAUGGAAACACUGUGCCAAGUCCUGAGAGGAACUCGCUCCCAGGUGUGUGUCGCAUCUUCUGUGUCUACAGCUUCUAGCAGCUGGUAUCUUUUGAACAAAUCCGCUUAGCAUGGGGACCGCUUAGAAUGCAAUGAUAAAACCCUCUUACCCCAAAGCAGACACUAUUUGAGUGGGCCCUGGUAGAACACUCAUUUGCAACCUGUUGACCUCCAUUAAGACAUACAUGUGGGUACACACACACCAGGCUCACAGGGUGGGUUCACCUGGUGGCUCUGGAAACCCCACUCCCUCCUGAAAGCCAUUAGAUCUCAAGGGAAGCCCAGCCUUGCCAAACUACCAAACUCCGGAGGGCCGUGGGCAGAGCUCAUCGUGAGCUGACUGUUAAAAACCUAGGAGUAUUACCAUCCUGUCCCUGGGGUCCAAACUCCCCAAGGUGCCUUCAAGGCCCAUUGUGGGUGGCCUUGGGCACUCACCUCCCUCCUAGCUGGCUCCUGGCCUCUGCAUGGUGGCCUCUGGGGUCCUCCAUAGCCUUCUCUGUGUCACUUUUCUACAAACACUGGAUCUGCCAGGCCUGGGGCGUGAGGUGGAGUGAUGCCCCAACCCCGGGCCGGCGAGUGUGGCGCACACAGGGGAGGCCUGUGCAUAGCAAGGCGCACACUUGGCUUGUGACGUGGCUUAGCGCCCAGCUUCCCCUGUCCCAGAUGGGAUGUUGAUUUAUUUCUGAAUAGCUCUGGAGUAGAAACCAAAUUUCUUUUUAAUAUAUUACUUAUGUAUGUAUACACUGGUAAAAUAUAUAUACCUGGGGGUCUAUUUAUGUUCCAGUUUAGAGUCAUUGUUUUCUGUCAGGAAUCUUACCUGCUGCUCAGUGUAUUUGGUCAGAUCCCUGACACAUUUAGUUUCCUAUCAUAAAGGUGCUUUCCCUGGGGUGGACUAAACCUAUUGACUUUUUCUUAAAAGAUUAUUUUUCCCUUUGGAUUUAAUGGGCUGAGGAAGAAAUGAGACUUGAAUGUUAACAAGAUCCAUUGUAGGAGUAUUUGGGGUUGUGUGUUAAAUAGCCAUUUGUUCUGGAACACAAGGGCAGGGUUGUAAUAAAACAGAACGGAAUAGAAGUGAGUCCUGGCUUUCCUCACUGUACAUUAUUGGCAGCAUUGAACAGGCUGCAGAGAGCUCAGGCUCCCUGCUUGGGCACCCGGGUCUCCUCCUCGGCCUUGGAGUCCUUGGCUGGCUUUGCCAGUGGGUACCUGGAGCUGCCCCACAACUGACCAUGACAAACGUGAGGAGCAAAAUUUCCUAUACAAAUCCCCACCUCCACCCUGUCCACUCCAUGUUGGGUUUAAGUCGGCAUAAACCAAAUCUGUCCCCCUCACUCCCACACUGGGAAUUGAACCCAGGGCUUCGCACAUUCAUGGCAAGCCAGGCAAGGGCUCUGCCACUGAGCUACGCCCCCAGCCCAACUGAAACCCUUUAGAACAUGGAGUUUGCCUCCUGUUGGGACAGCUCGGCUUGAUUUUCCAAAGGUUCCUCAAGACCUUGGGGCCCUCCGGCAAGAGAGCUUCUGCUGAAGUGCCCAGUGGGCCACAUGUCACCAAUCCAAGGCAGUUUUACCCAUUGUGGCACUCGCCAGUGUGUUCACCCUAAAUGACCUUCCUUUUUGGAAGCACGCUCCCUGGGCCUCCACAGUAGCCACACCCAGCCUCUGAAAGCUUCACCUGGAGACACACCCAGCCCUCUCAGCAACCCUCUCCUCCUGGACAAGCUUGUGCACAUGGACACCUCUAAUUACUGACUUCCCAGAAGGCUCCAAACCACCAGCCCCAGCCUCUCUGCAGCUGCACAUCUGUGUGUGUGUCCACCUUGGAUGUCCCACAGUUACCUCCAACUCCAAAUGUCCAACACCCUCCCAAAGUUGGGCCCCCAUCACCCUUACCACCCCUACGCUGAUACUGUGGACAUUUGACAUCUCCCUCUGUCUUCCCGGUGCCCGUCUAUGACUCCAUCAGCUGCUUUCAACUCUGAAACCACAGCCAAUCCCAGGAGAUGACAGCACCGUGGGUCACUGGCCUGAGGCACCAGAUCACAGCCCCCCUUGAGUCUCAGACCUCACCCUGUGCAUUGGGAUGAUGUGUGGGUGUCUGUUAAGUGCCCAAGUGGUGAUAGAUAUUCACGCCCACAUGUCAGGUAAAAUCUGGCUGCUGAAAGAGUUGAGAUCAUCUGUAGACCCAAAGGGGCUCCCGUAGUGAGAACAUUAGAAAACUGAGAAGAGCAGGGCAUACAGUUUAUCAUCCUGGCCCUUGGGGGAGAUCCAUAUAAAUUCUAUUGAUGUAAGGGCUGUGUAACAAUGUACAUUGUACAGUAAUACAUUUCAUCGUAAAAUCAAUACAACCCAUUGAUUCUCACAAGCCCAUUAAUUUCUGCCACCCUUUCAUAUCUGGAACUAAUCUAUCCAUGUAACCUUCGCAUGACAAAUGACCGCAGCCCCAGCAUGAACGUUGGUUAAUGUUUUAGGGGAACAAGUCAAAGACCUGAGUCAGACUUCAUUCAUUGAUGAUAUGACUUGACUUUGCUGAAUCAAGUAGUUUCUGAAGGCGGGACACAUGUACCCUCAGUUUGUUGUGCCAUUCACACUGAAAUUCCCUCAGAUAUGUGUUUUAUUUACAAUUGAGAUACAACUCAUAUUCCAGAAUAUUUGCCCAACCCACUUUUAAACUUAUGAUACUAACACUUUCUCUACUGCUGUCUUAAGUCUAGAGACUUGAAAGCAUAAAUCAAGCCCUGGAUGUAACGUUUGCCCAUUUCUGUGGUGUAAAUAAAUACCUUGCACUGCUGGCUUCCAGCUGCCAGAGUGAAAUCACUUAGCUCAUGGUGGGGUGAACCAUAUAUAACCUCCCCACCAUCCAGAUGUGAUGGGGUAAGUAACCCAAAGGCAUAGGUACUAAUAAAAUAGAAGCGUUGAGUAUUUCAGUAUGACCUUUUCUUUUUCUUUUUCUUUCUUUUUUUUUUUUUUUUUUUUUUUUGGUCUUUUUGAGACGGUCUCACUAUGCAGUUCAGGCUGGCCUUGAGCUCACUUUGUAGCCGAGGCGGGCCCCGAACUUGCACUGAUCCUCCUGCCUCAGCCUCCUGAGUGCUGGGUUUACAGACAUGUGCCACCACACCCAGCGACCUUUCCUUUUAGUAAGUUAUUUGCUUACAGGUUUACAUAAGUUCCUUUUUAAUAACGGUCCUGUAAAUAACUGGCUUGAAAAAAUUCCUGGAAAUUCACCAGUCUGCUCUCACAAGUCAGAGCCCCCCACUGGGGGGAAACAGAAGAGAUGGCCUAGGAAAGAGGGAGAUAAGGCAAGCAAGGUCAGCUGUGGCACUCUUACCAAGCAGCUGCGCUAACCCGAGGUGGGAUGGGGAGAUGUGCGGAUGCAGCGGUGCCUUAGCUUUCCCCUCACCUCUGCUCUCCCAGCAUGGCCAGCAGAGGGGUGGGACGAAGCGACCAGAUUCUAGGUGUCCAAUAAUGCAGGCUGGGGGUGUCACGGGUGGAGCAUCUCACUUCGGUCAUGCUUCUCUGCCACACUGGGCACACGGUGACGUUGCCACCUGGGCUGUGUGGAGGCUGGGAAGCGGUCUCCAGCUUCUCACACUCACCCAACCCCCCUUAGCCUUCUCCAGGGACCAGGGCCAAAAGUGUAGUAGGGCAACGGGCUCCACCUGGGAGUGGGCAGCCAGCGAUCUGCCACAGCCCAAGGGCGCGGGGUGGGGGUGGGGGAGCGCGGGGGGGGUGGUCCCCGCAGCCUGGGAUGAAGCCUGGGGUGGGAGGGAGUCGUGCAGAGCUCAGAAAUGUCCUCCUCUUUCCAAGCUCGGCCUUCUGGCUCAGCCCAGAGAUCAAGUUCAUCCAUCGUACCUCAGUCUGAGCUGGCAGAGGCAAAAUCAGCCACCUGCUCUCCACCGACCGCCCCACGGGGAGACCGCAAAAGGGGCGGGAAAGGGUUCCCAGCCUUGGGACCCUCGGGGCUCCUGCGAGCUCCUGGCGCGCGGAAAACAGCCCAGGGUAGCCUUUCCCGAGGCCGCGCCCGCCCCGGGCCCUUGCGGGACAGGGUGGGGGCGGGGGUGGGGGCGGGGGUGGCCUGCACCGCCCGCCCGGAUGACCUGCUCUCCCUGGCGUCCGCGCACCGGUGAGGAUCUUGCCUCCGCCUCCCGCAGCUCGGGCGGGCCGAGCGGAGCCCAGCGCGGCGCCGGCCCUGGCACCAGGCCCCCGAGACCACGGAGAGCGGCGGGCGUGCGCACCCCGAGCCAGGUGAGUGCGCAGCCCGCAGCCAGGCGGGGCGCGCGGGCGGGGAGGGACGCCUGACCUUCAGCAAGGGCCUCCCAGACCUUCCGUUCUGCGUUCUGCGGCGGAAAAUUCAAAACCCAGUCUCGAGAUUGAAGGCCUUUGGGAAGUUGGAGGGAGGGGCCGGCUGGGAAGUAGGUCCCUGUAUUCUAGGAUCCAAGUGGAUGGGACCAGCCACCCAGAGGAGUGUUGUUACCAGGGCUGUGUUUCGGGGCACAGCAGACCGG
ensembl:lincRNA